rnacentral:rRNA from 1 species
GACGAACGCUGGCGGCGUGCUUAACACAUGCAAGUCGAACGGUGAAGCGCUUGCCUUUUUGGUGGGUGUGGAUGAGUGGCGAACGGGUGAGUAACACGUGAGUAACCUGCCCUCUUCUUCUGGAUAACCUCAUGAAAGUGGGGCUAAUACGGGGUAUUCCGGGUCUGUCGCAUGGCGGGUUUGGGAAAGAUUGCGCCUUUGGGUGUUUUCGGUGGGGGAUGGGCUCGCGGCCUAUCAGCUUGUUGGUGGGGUGAUGGCCUACCAAGGCGGUGACGGGUAGCCGGCCUGAGAGGGUGGACGGCCACACUGGGACUGAGACACGGCCCAGACGCCUGCGGGAGGCAGCAGUGGGGAAGAUUGCACAAGGGGCGCAAGCCUGAUGCAGCGACGCCGCGUGAGGGAUGGAGGCCUUCGGGUUGUGAACCUCUUUCGCCAGUGAAGCAGGCCUGCUCCUGUGUGGGUGGGUUGACGGUAGCUGGAUAAGAAGCGCCGGCUAACUACGUG